rnacentral:rRNA from 1 species
AACCUGGUUGAUCCUGCCAGUAGUGUAUGCUUCUCCUAAAGACUAAGCCAUGCAUGCCUCCGAAUAGAAGAGCAAUUCUCUCUGAAUCUGCGAACGGCUCCGCAAACCAGUUGUAAACCAGGGCAAGCAUGCUCCGGGGUCGCCGCAAGGUGUGCCUCGGGGCUAUAGGGAUAACCCUGGUAAUUCUGAGGCUAAUACAUGAACGUACCCCUCGGCCGACGGGUAACUGAAGGCCGGGGACCGUGCGAGUAGGCGCUGAUUUUUUAUUGGGAGUAGUCGCACAGUAGGACCACCAUCCAAACGGUAUCUGCUUCGCCCCGUUAAACGGGCUGGUGGUGUCCGGGUGGCUCUUGCAACGUGCUUCUGACCUAUCAACUAGAUGGCAGCUUAUAGGACAUGCCAUGGUGACAACGGGUACAGAGGAUAAGGGUUCGAUCCUGGAGAGUGGGCCUGAGAGAUUGCUCACACUUCUAAGGAAGGCAGCAGGCGCGCAACGUUCCCCUUGGGCAAUGCUCGAGGGCGUUAGGGGACAUAUGAAUGUCUGCCAAUUGGUGGACAAUUCAAAUGG